GGAGGAGUCGCAUAGUCUGGUCGAGUGCCGCUCGGUGCUAACGAGCUAUAUCCGUAAGGAUAUCGUGGGUUCGAAUCCCACCUCCUCCG
rnacentral:tRNA from 1 species